UGAAAUAGAAAUAUAAUGACGCAGGUUCUCUCGCCACGAGCGGAAUUUACUCGCAAAAACACUUAGACAACUUGCGUGAUCAUCUAAUGUUCCCUAUUGAGCAGCCCUCCAUAAUAAACAACUUUGCUAGGGGAGCGGCAGACCAUAAAAUUCAGGGGAACAGCUUGGACAUUGUUAACUUAGUGAGUGAAAGUGAACUAGAAAAACUGACAGAAAACGUUGCCUCACGUAUGUGGACGGGUCUCUUGAAGUUUGGUUCGGUUAGUGCGGCUAUUUUAGGACUAAUUGUAAUUUUUAAAUUUAUAAAGCUCAUUAUAGACUCAGUGCURCGGGGUUAUGCGCUCCAUACUGUUUACGGGUGGAGCGUACAUUUGCUUGGUGCCAUUUGGGGAUCGCUAACAAACCURCUCCUGCACUUGAAAAAUACGAAGAGCGGCAAAAGUACGAGGCCGCAGGAGGAAGCAGCAGAGCUUAAAGAGAUAACGACGGGACGGCCGGGAGAUAAAAGCGACACGGGAGACAACGCCCAGACGUCCAGGACGGCGGGCGCCUCACAAACAGAUCCACCCGGUUCCCACGCUCGUGGUAAGGGCACGCGUGCAGUAAAAGGAAAUCUCUUAGCUCGGGUAUAAGACGCACGUGCAGUUCCAAGAAUUGCUGCUUGAUAGUAACCGAUAUUUUUCUGAGGCAAAUUCACAUGACACAGCAGUUUUGUCAUGUGAAUUAAGUGACAUUAUUUUAACGACUAAAACCCAUAUUACACCGAAGUCCUGCGACCGUCCAAUCGACGCAAUCGAUUCUAAGGCAAUUGGGUCUGUGGAUCAUCGGGAUUUAGCACAAUUCACACCAAGACGAAAAUCUUUCCAGAGGUCAUAUUUCUAAAUUUCAAGGUGGGGUUACUCGUUCAACUGCGGGGACGUCACAUGACGAAAACGCAUCGCACACGCCUCGCCUGGGAUUUUUAGCGGUAGGGGUGAGUUAUAUGAUUCGGCUUCUAGGCAUCUGGUUGCCGAGCGGCCAACGUCCUUAUCAUCAUAGGUAGACUAAACAUCCUCGAUGCCCGAGCAAGGCGGCUUGAGAUAAAGGGCCGUGCAAUUGGAAUGCGAUAAGGGGCACAAGGAAAGUGCUUACCAUCACUUCUCUCGUGCCGGCGACGAUUCACUCUCUGUCGGGCAUUCAAUCUGUAACGACGUAUUAAUCAGUAAAAGCAUUUUGAUCAACUUCUUUUAGUUUGAUUAUUUACUCACUU